CUUCUCACUACAUCCUCGCGACUAAUGACAAUCCUUAUCUCUCAUGAGAUAAAGCCUCUCAUUAGCCGCGCGAACCUCUGUAACGGAAGAUCCUCAGUAAUACAUUAACCUGAUUUGCUUAUGCUUCCUAGAAGAAAGGGGCCACAUUUGGCCCCUUUC
rnacentral:sRNA from 1 species